rnacentral:rRNA from 1 species
GACGAACGCUGGCGGCGUGCUUAACACAUGCAAGUCGAGCGGUAAGGCCCUUCGGGUACACGAGCGGCGAACGGGUGAGUAACACGUGGGUGACCUGCCUCUAGCUCUGGGAUAAGCCUGGGAAACUGGGUCUAAUACCGGAUAUGACUCCACGGCGCAUGUUGUGGGGUGGAAAGCCUUGUGUGGCUAGAGAUGGGCCCGCGGCCUAUCAGCUUGUUGGUGGGGUGAU